GAUGAACGCUGGCGGCGUGCCUAACACAUGCAAGUCGAGCGAACAGACCAGGACCUGGCUCGUCUGGCGUUAUCAGCGGACGGGAGAUUAACUCGGGGAUAACCUACCUAUAAGACUGGGAUAACUACGGGAAACCGUGUCUACUACCGGAUAAUAUAUUGAACCUGAUUGGUCAAUAGUGAAAUACGGUUUUGCUGUCACUAAUAGAUGGAUCCGCGCCGCAUUAGAUAGUUGGUAAGGUAACGGCUUACCAAGGCAAGGAUGCGUAGCCGCCCUGAGAGGGUGAUUGGACACCUUGGCAGUGAGACUGGGCACAGACACCUACGGGAGGAAGCAGUAGGGAAUCUUACGCAAUGGGCGAAAGGCUGACAGAGCAACGCGGCGUGAGUCAUGAAGGUGUUAGGAUCGUAAAGCUCUGUUAUCCGGAAAGAACUAAUGUGUAAGUACCUAUGAAGGUAUUGACGGUACCUAAUGAAAAAGCCACGGCUAACUACGUG
rnacentral:rRNA from 1 species